AAGACCAUACUUUCAGGGAUAAUGUCUAUAGGCAAUGAUGAGAGAAAUGUGCAUGAAAGUUUCCAAGCUUGUCAACAACCUUGAUGAGCUUAAGGGCUCUUUUCUCAGCAUGAAGACAGUUAGCAACUCUGUUUCAGGAAGAUGAUGUUUACUUUUGAUGACUGUGCUACUUUUUUGAAAAGAAGUGGUAGAAGAGUGCUCAUUCAGAGUGGC